GAUUAACGCUGGCGGCGUGCAUAACACAUGCAAGUCGAACGAUGAAACUUAACUGAUUUCUUCGGAAUGAUUUUAAGUGGAUUAGUGGCGGACGGGUGAGUAACGCGUGAGUAACCUGCCUUGGAGAAGGGGAUAGCCUUUUGAAACGAAGAAUAAUACUCUAUGAUAUGAUACUAUCUCAUGAUAUUAUCAUCAAAGAUUUAUCGCCUUGAGAUGGACUUGCUUCUGAUUAGGUGGUUGGUGAGGUAGCAGCUCACCAAGGCAGCGAUCAGUAGCCGGCAUUGGGGAGUGGUCCGCCACACUGCGACUGGGACAAGGACCAGACCCCUACGGGAGGCAGCAGUGGGGAAUUAUGCACAAUGGGGGAAACACUGAUGCAUCGGCGCCGUAAGAUUCAGAAGGCCUUCAAGUUGUAAAGUUCUUUUGUAUGGGAAGAAAAUGACGGUACCAAACGAAUAAGGACCGGCUAAUUACGUG
rnacentral:rRNA from 1 species